rnacentral:rRNA from 1 species
UAACGCGAAGAACCUUACCAGGUCUUGACAUACUAUGCAAAUCUAAGAGAUUAGACGUUCCCUUCGGGGACAUGGAUACAGGUGGUGCAUGGUUGUCGUCAGCUCGUGUCGUGAGAUGUUGGGUUAAGUCCCGCAACGAGCGCAACCCUUAUUAUCAGUUGCCAGCAUUAAGUUGGGCACUCUGGUGAGACUGCCGGUGACAAACCGGAGGAAGGUGGGGAUGACGUCAAAUCAUCAUGCCCCUUAUGACCUGGGCUACACACGUGCUACAAUGGAUGGUACAACGAGUUGCGAACUCGCGAGAGUAAGCUAAUCUCUUAAAGCCAUUCUCAGUUCGGAUUGUAGGCUGCAACUCACCUACAUGAAGUCGGAAUCGCUAGUAAUCGCGGAUCAGC